rnacentral:misc_RNA from 1 species
UCCGGUUUGGCACCGGCAGUAUCAUCAGAGUUCCCACCAUUACGUGUUGGCAACUGAUAAAAGGGGUUGCGCUCGUUGCGGGACUUAACCCAACAUCUCACGACACGAACUGACGACAGCCAUGCAGCACCUGUGUCCCUCCCACCCGAAGUGAAGAACUAGAUCUCUCUAGCUCAUAGAGGGCAUGUCAAGGCCUGGUAAGGUUCUUCGCGUUGCGACGAAUUAAACCACAUACUCCACCGCUUGUGCGGGUCCCCGUCAAUUCCUUUGAGUUUUAACCUUGCGGCCGUACUUCCCAGGCGGUGUGCUUAACGCGUUAGCUGCGUCACCGAAGAGUGAACUCCCCAGCGACAAGCACACAUCGUUUACGGCGUGGACUAC